rnacentral:rRNA from 1 species
AGCGAACGCUGGCGGCAGGCCUAAUACAUGCAAGUCGAGCGGCCGUAGCAAUACGGCAUCGGCAGACGGGAGAGUAACACGUGGGAACGUACCUUUCGGUUCGGCACAACCCAGGGAAACUUGGGAUAAUAACGGAUACGUCCGUAAGGAGUAAGAUUUAUCGCCGAAAGAUCAGACCGCGUCUGAUUAGCUUGUUGGUGAGGUAACGGCUCACCAAGGCGACGAUCAGUAGCUGGUCUGAGAGGAUGAUCAGCCUCACUGGGACUGAGACACGGCCCAGACUCCUACGGGAGGCAGCAGUAGGGAAUAUUGGACAAUGGGCGCAAGCCUGAUCCAGCCAUGCCGCGUGAGUGAUGAAGGCCCUAGGGUUGUAAAGCUCUUUCGGCGGGGAAGAUAAUGACGGUACCCGCAGAAGAAGCCCCGGCUAACUUCGUGCCAGCCGCCGCAGUAA